rnacentral:rRNA from 1 species
UACACUUUAAAUCCUUUAACGAGGAUCUAUUGGAGGGCAAGUCUGGUGCCAGCAGCCGCGGUAAUUCCAGCUCCAAUAGCGUAUAUUAAAGUUGUUGCGGUUAAAAAGCUCGUAGUUGGAUCUCGGUUUCACUCAGGUGGUACACCUUGCGGUGUUCACUAUCUGGGUGGACGUUUCUGUUGGUUCGCUCUUGGUGCUCUUCAUCGGGUGCCAUUUGGUGGCCAGCACGUUUACUUUGAAAAAAUUGGAGUGCUCAAAGCAGGCGUUACAGCCUGAACAUUAGUGCAUGGAAUAAUGGAAUAGGAUCUCGAUUCUAUUUCGUUGGCUUUCGGAGUCGAGGUAAUGAUUAAUAGGGACAGACGGGGGCAUUCGUACUGCGACGUUAGAGGUGAAAUUCUUGGAUCGUCGCAAGACGAACUACUGCGAAAGCAUUUGCCAAGAAUGUUUUCAUUAAUCAAGAACGAAAGUUAGAGGUUCGAAGGCGAUCAGAUACCGCCCUAGUUCUAACCAUAAACGAUGCCAACCGGCGAUCCGUCGUCGUUAAUUGAAUGACUCGACGGGCAGCCUCCGGGAAACCAGAGUGUUUGGGUUCCGGGGGAAGUAUGGUUGCAAAGCUGAAACUUAAAGGAAUUGACGGAAGGGCACCACCAGGAGUGGAGCCUGCGGCUUAAUUUGACAACACGGGAAAUCUCACCAGGCCCGGACACCGGAAGGAUUGACAGAUUGAGAGCUCUUUCUUGAUUCGGUGGGUGGUGGUGCAUGGCCGUUCUUAGUUGGUGGAGCGAUUUGUCUGGUUAAUUCCGAUAACGAACGAGACUCUGGCCUACUAACUAGAAGGUCUAUCCUUUAUGGGUAGGCCUCUGCUUCUUAGAGGGACGGGCGGCGUUUAGCCGCACGAGAAUGAGCAAUAACAGGUCUGUGAUGCCCUUAGAUGUUCUGGGCUGCACGCGCGCUACACUGAAGGAAUCAGCAUGUUCUCCCCUCCCUGAAAAGGGCGGGUAACCCGUUGAAACUCCUUCGUGAUGGGGAUUGGAGAUUGUAAUUAUUCUCCAUGAACGAGGAAUUCCCAGUAGGCGCGAGUCAUCAGCUUGCGUCGAUUACGUCCCUGCCCUUUGUACACACCGCCCGUCGCUACUACCGAUCGAGUGAUUUAGUGAGGACUUCGGACUGGUCUUCAAGUUGGCUUCGGUCGGCUCGAAGUUCCGGAAAGAUGCCCAAACUUGAUCACUUAGA